UCCAUUAUGGCAGAUUAGUGCAAUGAAUUUAAGAUUCAUUUAUAAAUAUAUUAUUUUUUUGGAA
rnacentral:tRNA from 1 species